rnacentral:misc_RNA from 1 species
AUGGAUCCGGAAAUUUUGUUCUUAUGAAGGCAAAGAUAGGAUAGCUUGCUUAAGUUUGCAAUACCUAGAGGGAUUGAGCCUGUGAAACUAUUUAUUGAGAAAUCAAUAAGCCGAAGUGAUCUAAGCAUGCCUAGUUCUUCUGGGAUGCAACCACAAAAAUUGUUGGCGCAAAGCCAAAUGUUCCGUAAGUCGAUCGAGUUUCUGAUUUCAAACGGAACAUUUCCAGAAAGAGAAUUGAAGGAUAAGUAGAGGAAAGCGAGUUUAGAAAGGUUACCAACGUGUGGAGGGAUGGAACCAUAGAGGGAGUUGU